CAUUAUGCCGGAGAAUAACGGGCUACAUUGAUGUUGUAGAACAGAAGAGGCUAAUCUUUAAUGUCU
rnacentral:tRNA from 1 species